rnacentral:ribozyme from 14 species
AAAAAAAAAAAAAAAAAAAAACCCCCCUUUUUUUUUUUUUGCGUUUUUUUUGAAGCAUAUGACUCGACAAAAGAAAAACUCUACAA